CACGUAGGGCGCGAGCGUUGUCCGGAAUUAUUGGGCGUAAAGAGCUCGUAGGCGGCCUGUUGCGUCCGCUGUGAAAGCCCGGGGCUUAACCCCGGGUCGGCAGUGGAUACGGGCAGGCUAGAGGUAGGUAGGGGAGAAUGGAAUUCCCGGUGUAGCGGUGAAAUGCGCAGAUAUCGGGAGGAACACCGGUGGCGAAGGCGACUCACUGGGUCUUUACUGACGCUGAUGCACGAAAGCUAGGGUAGCAAACGGG
rnacentral:rRNA from 1 species